rnacentral:tRNA from 1 species
AUAGGUAGUUCAGUGGUAGAAUUUUUAUCUGCCACAUGGGAGACCCAGGUUUGAUUCCUGGCCAAU